CCUGCUGUGAGCUGAAGAUUGGGAUCAUCAACAUAUAUUAUAAGUAGGAUUAGUCCAGCUUUAAAAUGUCUAAAAAACACCGAAUAAUCAAACUUGCUCUUUUGCAUACCAAACUGCUGAACUACCUCACUGAACCUGCCAAACCAAGCUCGAGAACUCUGUUUCAAGCCAUAAAGGGAUUUUCGAAGUCUACAUACUUUGCCUAACUCCCUCUGAGCAACAAAUCCUGGUGGUUGCUCCAUAUAUACU
rnacentral:misc_RNA from 1 species